AGAGUUUGAUCAUGGCUCAGAUUGAACGCUGGCGGCAGGCCUAACACAUGCAAGUCGAACGGUAGCACAGAGAGCUUGCUCUCGGGUGACGAGUGGCGGACGGGUGAGUAAUGUCUGGGAAACUGCCUGAUGGAGGGGGAUAACUACUGGAAACGGUAGCUAAUACCGCAUAAUGUCGCAAGACCAAAGAGGGGGACCUUCGGGCCUCUUGCCAUCAGAUGUGCCCAGAUGGGAUUAGCUAGUAGGUGGGGUAACGGCUCACCUAGGCGACGAUCCCUAGCUGGUCUGAGAGGAUGACCAGCCACACUGGAACUGAGACACGGUCCAGACUCCUACGGGAGGCAGCAGUGGGGAAUAUUGCACAAUGGGCGCAAGCCUGAUGCAGCCAUGCCGCGUGUAUGAAGAAGGCCUUCGGGUUGUAAAGUACUUUUAGCGGGGAGGAAGGUGUUGUGGUUAAUAACCACAGCAAUUGACGUUACCCGCAGAGGAAGCACCGGCUAACUCCGUGCCAGCAGCCGCGGUAAUACGGAGGGUGCAUGCGUUAAUCGGAAUUACUGGGCGUAAAGCGCACGCAGGCGGUCUGUCAAGUCGGAUGUGAAAUCCCCGGGCUCAACCUAGGAACUGCAUUCGAAACUGGCAGGCUGGAGUCCUGUAGAGGGGGGUAGAAUUC
rnacentral:rRNA from 1 species